CUACGGGCCGCAGCAGUGGGGAAUAUUGCACAAUGGAGGAAACUCUGAUGCAGCAACGCCGCGUGGAGGAUGACACUUUUCGGAGCGUAAACUCCUUUUAUAUAGGAAGAAGAUGACGGUACUAUAUGAAUAAGCGCCGGCUAACUCCGUGCCAGCAGCCGCGGUAAUACGGAGGGCGCAAGCGUUACUCGGAAUCACUGGGCGUAAAGAGCGUGUAGGCGGAUUAAAAAGUCAGAAGUGAAAUCCUAUAGCUUAACUAUAGAACUGCUUCUGAAACUCUUAAUCUAGAAUAUGGGAGAGGUAGAUGGAAUUUCUGGUGUAGGGGUAACAUCCGUAGAGAUCAGAAGGAAUACCGAUUGCGAAGGCGAUCUACUAGAACAUUAUUGACGCUGAGACACGAAAGCGUGGGGAGCAAACAGGAUUAGAUACCCGAGUAGUC
rnacentral:rRNA from 1 species